rnacentral:lncRNA from 1 species
GCGGAGAGAAUUUUCAUCGAGGACGAUUCUGCUACUGUCAUAGAACAACAGAAGACUUAUCCGUUGAUCCAUGAUAUUUGAACUUUCUUUCGUCAUUCUGUUACAUCGUCUAUCUGAUACGUUUAUCGAGAGAUGAAUAGUGUGGUAAGCUGAAUUGCUAUUUUUGUGACAGAAUAUUUGGAAGAUUGGAUUUGGAAGUCGGGAGAUGUUUGUCUGCUUGUUCUACAGG